rnacentral:rRNA from 1 species
AGAGUUUGAUCCUGGCUCAGGACGAACGCUGACGGUGUGCUUUAGACAUGCAAGUCGAACGAGAAAGCCCUUCGGGGUGAGUACAGUGGCGAACGGGUGAGUAACACGUGGGUAACCUGCCCCUCGCAGGGGGACAACCGGGGGAAACCCCGGCUAAUACCCCGUACGCUCCGAGGGUCGCAUGGCCUUCGGAGGAAAGGUAGCUUCGGCCAUCCGGCGAGGGAUGGGCCCGCGGUCCAUUAGCUAGUUGGUGGGGUAACGGCCCACCAAGGCGACGAUGGAUAGCUGGUCUGAGAGGAUGAUCAGCCACACUGGGACUGAGACACGGCCCAGACUCCUACGGGAGGCAGCAGUCGGGAAUCUUGCGCAAUGGGCGAAAGCCUGACGCAGCAACACCGUGUGGGCGACGAAGGCCUUCGGGUCGUAAAGCCCUGUUGUUGGGGACGAAGGACGAAGGGUUAAUAGCCCCUAGUCUGACGGUACCCUUCGAGGAAGCCCCGGCUAACUACGUGCCAGCAGCCGCGGUAAUACGUAGGGGGCGAGCGUUGUCCGGAAUUAUUGGGCGUAAAGAGCGUGUAGGCGGUUCGGUAAGUCUGCUGUGAAAUCCUGGGGCUCAACCCCGGGCGUGCAGCGGAUACUGCCGGGCUAGAGGGUGGUAGAGGCGAGUGGAAUUCCCGGUGUAGCGGUGAAAUGCGCAGAUAUCGGGAGGAACACCAGUAGCGAAGGCGGCUCGCUGGGCCAUUCCUGACGCUGAGACGCGAAAGCAUGGGGAGCGAACAGGAUUAGAUACCCUAGUAGUCC